CCGGAAGGUGGCGGUAAAGCGCCUAAAGUCAAAUCACAGAAGAAGAAGAUGGGGACAGACAACACUCCAGCUGUAAAGUCAGAAGACAAUCUCACAAUGUUCCAAUCUAAAGACGCUCAGCUGUCUUUACCGAAACACUCAUACUGGUUUGACUUCUGGGCGUUCCUGCUCUUCGACAUCGUGUUUUUCCUCUUCAUGUACUUCAUCGUCCCCUGAAACAGGUGAAACAGGCCUUCUCCUCUGGAUACUGCGACCCGAAGACGUGGGGUCCUUUUCCGUCCUGCUGCAGAAUUGCUAACCCAGCUUCAGCUGAAUGUAACACCAGCUUAUUGGAUAUCUUGAUGGAUAACUUGAAACCUGGAGCUGCAAGUUUAUAAAUGUUGAGCCCUUUUUUGAUAUCAGAGAUGUGAACCACCAUUGUCCUCUCCUCUGUGACCUGGUGACGGGGUCUAUGGACUGCCCUGUGUGACUGGAUGUCACCAUGGGAAAGACAUAUAUUCUAAGUAUUCAGAUUGAAGAAUGGCAAUGACAUCAUGAGGACUCAAAAAAUGCUCCUUCUUAAAGUUCCUUGGAAACUGUUCCAGGUGUUAUACAUUUAAAUGCAAAAUAUUCUGUUGUAGUUUUUUAUUAAGUAGUCUGUCAACAAGAAUGAACUGUGUUGCUUUUUACUUGUAAGUGGUCUUAUUUUAUUUCUGAACAUUUUAUUUUUCAGUUUUGGAGUCCUUCAUCGCUUUGUUUUCUUGUAAUAAGCCCUGUACUAAGCAGACACAAGAUUUUGCAAGAAGUACACCAAGUAAUGGAACAAAGUGAUUCCAGCUCACCAAAAUCUGCACAUUUUGCACAUGGAAAUAAAGUGUUUUGAGUAACAGAUAAAUGGUUAA